rnacentral:lncRNA from 10 species
CUCAUCUGAAUACCCUCUCCAGGAACUGACUUCAGCUGACAGCUACUGCUCAGUCCCAGAUAAUUUGCCUCUCUUAGGAGCAAGGCAUUUCUACUGACUGAUGGAUGGUGCUGUGUGGGGAGGGGAUCUCCGAAGAGCAAUUCCAGCUCCAAAGUUCUGUGAAAUUGGCUGACGCCAACAUUGCAAAUACAUUCCAGUUCAUCUCCUCCCUUGCCCAAUUCUGCUUCCCAAGAUUUCCCUCCAUAAAUAUUGCUCCCAGAAACAUUUCUCUCAAAAUCUCCUGAAGAUAAUCGCGGUAUCUGAAUAUGUUUCCUGUAGAAUGCCACCUAAAAGGACUCGCAAAUAGGGUGCAAAGUAUAGAGAAAGACACGAGUCAAAAACUCAAGUUUCAGCCAAAAGAAAAUUGAACUGAAGUCAUCCCAAAUAAGCUACUAUCUCCACAAUUUCAGCCCUUGCUUUCAAAGAAAUUUUUGCAAGACUGCCAGUUGGAAUAAGUAAUUAACACUUCAGCUCAGCUCUGAAAGGGGAAAACAACUGUGGCAUACAAACUCCUGCCAAAGUCAGUUCUCUCACCCAGAAACUGCCUGAAAUACUCAUCAGGGUACUUUCAAUUUUGCUAAAAGAGAAAAGAAAAAAGGCAAAAUGAUCAAAAUGGAAGUUCACCGUCUUAUCCCUAUCAACUGUUAGACAAAAUUAAGAUGGAGAAAAUGAGUGCACCGAAGCAGCAUGUGUCAACAUGGAAGGAUUUCGCUGACGUUGUAUUGAGUGAAAAAUAGAAAGUUACAAAAGCAUAUGAGCAAUAUAAUAAAACUCAUUUCAAGGAUUAAG